rnacentral:tRNA from 2 species
GGAAACGUGACCGAGUGGCCGAAGGUGCUCCCCUGCUAAGGGAGUAGGGGGUGUAGAGCCUCCUCGAGAGUUCGAAUCUCUCCGUUUCCGCCA